AACGCGAAGAACCUUACCUGGGCUCGAAAUGCAGGAGACCGGGGUAGAAAUAUCCCUUCCUCGCAAGAGGCUGCUGUAUAGGUGCUGCAUGGCUGUCGUCAGCUCGUGUCGUGAGAUGUUGGGUUAAGUCCCGCAACGAGCGCAACCCUCAUCCCUAGUUGCCACCGGGUAAUGCCGAGCACUCUAGUGAAACCGCCCCGGAUAACGGGGAGGAAGGUGGGGAUGACGUCAAGUCCUCAUGGCCUUUAUGUCCAGGGCUACACACGUGCUACAAUGGUCGGUACAAACCGUCGCAAAGCUGCAAAGUGGAGCUAAUCGGAAAAAGCCGGCCUCAGUUCGGAUUGGAGUCUGCAACUCGACUCCAUGAAGCUGGAAUCGCUAGUAAUCGCAGAUCAGAACGCUGCGGUGAAUACGUUCCCGGGCCUUGUA
rnacentral:rRNA from 1 species